GGGAAGCCUGGAGUGCUGCAGUCCAUGGGGUCACAAAGAGUCUGACACGACUGAGCAACUGAACUGAACUUGCUGACUUAUAUCUGAAUGGCUCUAGAGUAAUAUGGCCAUUUAGAGGACAUUUGAGCGCAUCUUACUGACUAAAAAAAGAAGAAAAGUGAGAGUUGCAAGUUAAGUUUUAUUUGGGGGCUAAGUGAGGACUGAACCCCAGGAGACAGCACCUCAGAUAACUCUGAGAAAAUGCUCCAAAGAGGUGGGGGUAAGGUCAGUGUAUAUGUGACUUUGGUGAAGGGAGAGUACAUGCAAUCAAGCGCAUAUUUUUAUGAGAAGGUUUCUGCUAGUUUCAGGAAGAUUUCUGAGUCACAAGGAAACAGUUAUCACCAUGAAGGAUUUUAGUGCUUUUCUAGAUACGAGGAGAUAUAAGAAUUGGGCUCAUAAAAUCUGCUCCUGAGAACAUCUAACUGAAGACCUGUCCUGCCAGAUUGCUCCCCCCCACCCCCGCCACCCCCAGCAUAGAAUGCUUCAUUUCUGCUUUCCACUCAGAACUACUUUCAGAGGGUGUUGAAGUAACAGCUGGAGCAGCACACGAUUUAAUCCUUGUAGAGGUAGGCGGCAAGUACCAUGGCAAGUGCCAAUCUGUAGUUGACAACCUCAUUAUUUUUAUCUUCUGGGAGCUGAUUGAACUUCAGGAAGUCUAAAAUUUUGUCACUUUGCUGCAUUUAACAAGAAACAGAGCCCUUCCUUCCUCAAGGUAAGAUGACUGUUUUCCAGCAUCCUUCCCGGUGCCAAUUGGAGCAGGUUGUGGUUGUUCAGAAAGGAGAACACACUUUCUGGUAAUCGCUAAAGUCAUGAGAACAAUAUUACCCAGAAGAUCCUGCGCGCAGGAAGGAAGAGCCACAUAAAUGCAUUUCCGGGGAAAUUCUUCACAUCGGGCCCAUUGGGGCGGGACUUCCGGUAUCCUGCUUUUAGCGGCCAUUUUAAACUGCUGUGAGUUUCCUGAUUGGGGGCCGCUGAUUCUGGACCGCGUGACCGGAUCUAAAAAGCGCGAGAGCAGGCACUGUCCCCGCGCCACAUAGUGGACUCUGAGGUUCUGCAACGGCGACCGGGGUACCCUGCGCCAGGCCGGGGAGAGGAAAGUCCCUGCCCGCGUCCCCCUGCCUCUCCGGCCAGAGUCUGAUGGCGGUGACGCGCUGAGGGACCCACCUCCAGGACAGUUUAAACUUUAAAGACAUUGCUGUGUACUUCUCCUCGGAGGAAUAGAGGCUUCUUGAUGAGGCUCAGAGAUGCCUGUACCUCAGUGUGAUCCUGGAAAACUUUGCACUCAUAUCUUCACUGGAUCUCUCUCUCUCUCUCUUUUUUUUUGGCCACACCACAUCUCAUGCAGAAUCUUAAUUUCUUGACCAGGGAUGAAACCCGUAUUUCCUGCAGUGGAAGCACAAAGCCCUGACCAUUGGACAGCCCGGUUGCUGCUGUGGAGGACAGGAUGCAGAGGCACCCUUUCAACAUAACAUUUCUAUAGGCCUGACACAGGCCAGGACUCCUAAGGCACUUUCAUUUUCCCAGAAGAAUCACAUCUGUGAGAAGUGUAGUCUGGUCUUGAGAAGUAUUUUUCACUUGGCAGAGCAUGAAGAAACACAACACAGCCAGAAAGUGUUCGGGUAUAUAAUACACAUGAAACAAUUUCAUUUUGGUGCAAACCUCCAAAAACACCAGAAGCAGUACAUUGAAAAGAAAUCCUUCAGAAAUGAUGUAGACAAGGCCUUGUUUGUGAAGUGCUGCAAACUCCAUAUGUCAGAAAAGCCCUCUUCCUGUGAGAAAGUUAAGAGACUUUCUGGCCACCUCAGGACAUCUCCAGCAACAGUCCACUCACACCAGGGAGAAGCCAGACAAUAUUGUCCAGUAUGAGCCAACUUUACAAAGCAGAGAAAGUCAUUACAACCUGGGAGAGAACACAAGAAAACCCUGAACCCCAAACACACACUUGUUCAAGACAAGAGUGUCCACAUUGGAAGACAUUGUUUUGUGUGCAGUGAAUGUAGGAAAACAUUCAAGUACAAAUCCUUAUUUAUGUGCACCAGAGAGUCCACACUAGAAAAAGACUUCAUGUGUGUGGUGAAUGUGGGAAAUCAUUCAGGUGAACCUCGAUCCUCAGUCUGCAUCAAAGAAUUCAUACUGGGGCAAGGCAGUACAAGUACAGCAAAUGUGGGAAUUUCUUUAGUCAAAACUUUGUCCUCAUUUAUCCCUGGAGAAGUCACAUUGGAGAAAUUACUUGUAUUGUGAAUGUGUACAGUCUUUUAGCCGUAGAUGCAUCCUAGUUUGACAGUGAAUAGUUCCCAAUGGAAAAAGGCAUUGUGAGUGUACUCAAUGUUGGAUAUCUUUUAAAUGAAAGUGUUUUCUCAUUGUACACUGGAAAGUUCACAUAGGAGAAAGGCCUUACAAUUGCAGUGAAUGUGGGAAAUCAUUUACCUAUAGCUCGGUUCUCAUCCUACACCAGCGACUUCACAAGGGAGAAAGAAGGCCUUUUACAUGUGGUGAAUGUGGGAAAUCUUUUACCACUUGGAAAUCUUUUUACCAAUAGCUUGAUACUCAUUCUCCACCAGAGAGUUCACACAGGAAAAAGGCCUUAUGAGUGUAGUGAGUGUUGGGAAUCAUUUAGUUAUCAGACUUACCUCAUUCAACACUGCAAGGUUCAUAGUGGAAAAAGGCCUUAUGAAUGUAGUGAAUGUGGAAAUCUAGUUCUGGCCCCCCUUAUCAUCAGAGAGUUCACAAUGGAUCAAGGCCUUAUGAUUGCAGUGAAUGUGGGAAAUCUUUUACUUCUAGUUCUACCCUCUGUUAUCAUCAGAGAAUUCACACAGGAAAAAGACCUUAUGAGUGCAAGGAGUGUGGAAAAUGUUUUAUGUUCAGUUCUGCCCUGUGUUAUCAUCAUAAGACUCAUGCUGGAGAUAGGCUUUAUGAGUGCUCUGUAUGUGGGAAAUGUUUUUCUUCUGGUUCCACCCUCCCCUGUCAUCAAAGGUUUCACACAGGAGAAAGGCCUUAUGUGUGCAGUGAAUGUGGGAAAUCCUUUAUCCAAAGAUAUUACCUUCUUAUACACCGAGAGUUCACACAGGAUAAAAGCUUUAUAAGUGUACUGAAUUCGAGAAAUCUUUUACCACUAAGAGGAGCCUUAUUUAUCAUCAGGGGAAUCACACUGGAGAAAGGCCUUAUGAGUGCCAUGAAUGUGGGAAAUCCUUUAAGCGACAGUCUUCUCUCAUUGAACACUGUAGACCUCACACUGGGCAAAAAGCCUUAUAAAUGUAGUGAAUGUAGGAAAUUUUUGCAUCUAAGUGCACUUUCUGUUAUCAUCUGACAGUUCAUAUGGGAUUGAGGCCGUAUGAGUGCAGUGAAUGUGGAAAUCUUUUACCUCUAGUUCUACUCCUCACGAGUAUCAGAUAACUCACACAAACAAAAGACCUUAUGAAUGCACUGAAUGUGGGAAAUCCUUUAAGAGAGAGUCUUUUCUCAUUGAAUACUGUAGACUUCACACUAGAGAAAGCCCUUAUAAAUGCAGUGAAUGUGGGAAAUCUUUUACAUCUAGGUGGGGCUUCUGUUAUCAUCCACAAGUUCACACUGGAUCAAGGAAGUAUGAGUGCAGUGAAAUCUUUUAAAAAGAUUUCAGAAAAGUUCUGCAGUCCUUCAACAUCAGUAUUCACAGAUGUUGAAAGGUUUUUGUGUGUGUUGUGAAUGUGAGAAAACCUUUACCUCUAGUUCCACCAUUUGUUCUCAACAGAGAGUUCACAAGAAAAGUUUUAAUUCAUGACAGGAGUUUGGGAAGAUUUUUCCUAAAGAAUUUGCCUCAUUAUACGUGAUAGAGUUUACAGUGGAGAAAGGUCUUGAGUGUGCAAGAGAAUGUGCAAUUUUCCUUUUCAGGAUAAUGACACUGGAAGAAACUGAGGAGCUGUCCAUCUGAAUUCAAUCUCCUACUUCCAGUUGUCUGCAAGGGGAGAUACCCCUUAAGUUUCAGUUUUGCAGGAAGCAUCUGUGGCUAUAUUGCACUUUCUAACCUGUCUGCGGCUCUUCCUAGAUUUAUGUCACUGCCAGUUUUUUUUUUUUUUUUUGCCACUUUAUUUCUGUCACUUGGCAGGUCUACACAGUGCAUCAGUCACCAGCCCAGUGCGCUCAGAGAAGCUGACCUCUGUUCUUCCAUGUGUUAGAGCCCAGUCCCUAUGAAUUCAGUUAAUGAAAUGUACAGAGAAGGGCAACCUUCUUCACGGACAUGUUCUCACACAAUUCAUUUUUCUAGCUAGCAAGUCACCAGACCAGACUGCAUGCCACACAUUGUUUUGGUUUGUGCAAUAUAGAUGCCUUAUUGUUUAAGGACUCUCUUAUUUUUGAGUGUUCUCUGUACUGCGAGAGGUUUUCUACAAGGAGGUUUGGGCUCUGCAGGCAUGAAGGGUGAAUGGUUUUUAGGGGCCACAGGGAGGA